rnacentral:rRNA from 1 species
CUCUGUGACUCCUACGGGAGGCAGCAGUGGGGAAUAUUGCACAAUGGGCGCAAGCCUGAUGCAGCCAUGCCGCGUGUGUGAAGAAGGCCUUCGGGUUGUAAAGUACUUUCAGCAGUGAGGAAGGCGGAGUCGUUAAUAGCGGCCUCGUUUGACGUUAGCUGCAGAAGAAGCACCGGCUAACUCCGUGCCAGCAGCCGCGGUAAUACGGAGGGUGCGAGCGUUAAUCGGAAUUACUGGGCGUAAAGCGCAUGCAGGUGGUUUGUUAAGUCAGAUGUGAAAGCCCGGGGCUCAACCUCGGAAUUGCAUUUGAAACUGGCAGACUAGAGUACUGUAGAGGGGGUAGAAUUUCAGGUGUAGCGGUGAAAUGCGUAGAGAUCUGAAGGAAUACCGGUGGCGAAGGCGGCCCCCUGGACAGAUACUGACACUCAGAUGCGAAAGCGUGGGGAGCAAACAGGAUUAGAUACCCUGGUAG